rnacentral:rRNA from 1 species
GACGAACGCUGGCGGCGUGCCUAAUACAUGCAAGUCGACCUUAGUGGCGAACGGGUGAGUAACACGUGGGUAACCUGCCCAUCAGAAGGGGAUAACACUUGGAAACAGGUGCUAAUACCGUAUACAGCUGGAUGGACCCGCGGUGCAUUAGCUAGUUGGUGAGGUAACGGCUCACCAAGGCCACGAUGCAUCGCCUACCUGCGAGUGUGGUCGUCCACAUUGGGACUGAGACACGGCCCAAACUCCUACGGGAGGCAGCAGUAGGGAAUCUUCGGCAAUGGACGAAAGUCUGACCGAGCAACGCCGCUUGAUUGAAGAAGUUUUUCGGAUCGUAAAACUCUGUUGUUAGAGAAGCGGUAGCUAACCAGAAAGCCACGGCUAACUACGUGCCAGCCGCCGCGGUAAUAC